rnacentral:misc_RNA from 1 species
AUUGAUACUCACGAUUUUAACACAAAGCUUAAUAAUGCGUUAAAGUUUAUCAAACACGGCGACAAAGUAAAGGUUUCAAUUCGUUUUCGCGGACGUGAAAUGGGACAUCCGGAAAUCGGUCUUGAAACAAUGAAGCGUUUUGCCGAAGCUUGCAGUGAAGUUGCUGUAAUCGAGAAGCCUGCUAAGCUUGAAGGUCGUAAUAUGCUUAUGUUUCUUGCGCCAAAGUUCAAUAAGUAACCAAUUAAGGGAGGAUAUUAUAAUGCCUAAAAUUAAAACACACAGCGGUGCCAAAAAACGUUUUAAACUUUCAAAAAACGGUAAAGUUAUCCGUGCUCACGCUAACA